rnacentral:rRNA from 1 species
CCUCUAAGCAUCAGGUAACACGAAAUCGUACCCCAAACCGACACAGGUGGUCAGGUAGAGAAUACCAAGGCGCUUGAGAGAACUCGGGUGAAGGAACUAGGCAAAAUGGUGCCGUAACUUCGGGAGAAGGCACGCUGAUAUGUAGGUGAAGUGAUUUACUCAUGGAGCUGAAAUCAGUCGAAGAUACCAGCUGGCUGCAACUGUUUAUUAAAAACACAGCACUGUGCAAACACGAAAGUGGACGUAUACGGUGUGACGCCUGCCCGGUGCCGGAAGGUUAAUUGAUGGGGUUAUCCGUAAGGAGAAGCUCUUGAUCGAAGCCCCGGUAAACGGCGGCCGUAACUAUAACGGUCCUAAGGUAGCGAAAUUCCUUGUCGGGUAAGUUCCGACCUGCACGAAUGGCGUAAUGAUGGCCAGGCUGUCUCCACCCGAGACUCAGUGAAAUUGAACUCGCUGUGAAGAUGCAGUGUACCCGCGGCAAGACGGAAAGACCCCGUGAACCUUUACUAUAGCUUGACACUGAACACUGGUCCUUGAUGUGUAGGAUAGGUGGGAGGCUUUGAAGUGUGGACGCCAGUCUGCAUGGAGCCAUCCUUGAAAUACCACCCUUUAAUGGCUGGUGUUCUAACGUAGACCCGUAAUCCGGGUUGCGGACAGUGUCUGGUGGGUAGUUUGACUGGGGCGGUCUCCUCCUAAAGAGUAACGGAGGAGCACGAAGGUUAGCUAAUCCUGGUCGGACAUCAGGAGGUUAGUGCAAAGGCAUAAGCUAGCUUGACUGCGAGAGUGACGGCUCGAGCAGGUGCGAAAGCAGGUCUUAGUGAUCCGGUGGUUCUGAAUGGAAGGGCCAUCGCUCAACGGAUAAAAGGUACUCCGGGGAUAACAGGCUGAUACCGCCCAAGAGUUCAUAUCGACGGCGGUGUUUGGCACCUCGAUGUCGGCUCAUCACAUCCUGGGGCUGAAGUAGGUCCCAAGGGUAUGGCUGUUCGCCAUUUAAAGUGGUACGCGAGCUGGGUUUAGAACGUCGUGAGACAGUUCGGUCCCUAUCUGCCGUGGGCGCUGGAGAAUUGAGGGGGGCUGCUCCUAGUACGAGAGGACCGGAGUGGACGCAUCACUGGUGUUCGGGUUGUCAUGCCAAUGGCAUUGCCCGGUAGCUAAAUGCGGAAGAGAUAAGUGCUGAAAGCAUCUAAGCACGAAACUUGCCCCGAGAUGAGUUCUCCCUGACUCCUUGAGAGUCCUGAAGGAACGUUAAAGACGAUGACGUUGAUAGGUCGGGUGUGUAAGUGUAGCGAUACAUUGAGCUAACCGAUACUAAUGAACCGUGAGGCUUAACCUU